ACGGGUGAGUAACACGUGGGUGAUCUGCCCUGCACUCUGGGAUAAGCCUGGGAAACUGGGUCUAAUACCGGAUAGGACCACACACUUCAUGGUGAGUGGUGCAAAGCUUUUGCGGUGUGGGAUGAGCCCGCGGCCUAUCAGCUUGUUGGUGGGGUAAUGGCCCACCAAGGCGACGACGGGUAGCCGGCCUGAGAGGGUGACCGGCCACACUGGGACUGGGAUACGGCCCAGACUCCUACGGGAGGCAGCAGUGGGGAAUAUUGCACAAUGGGCGCAAGCCUGAUGCAGCGACGCCGCGUGAGGGAUGACGGCCUUCGGGUUGUAAACCUCUUUCAGUAGGGACGAAGCGAAAGUGACGGUACCUACAGAAGAAGGACCGGCCAACUACGUGCCAGCAGCCGCGGUAAUACGUAGGGUCCGAGCGUUGUCCGGAAUUACUGGGCGUAAAGAGCUCGUAGGUGGUUUGUCGCGUUGUUCGUGAAAACUCACAGCUUAACUGUGGGCGUGCGGGCGAUACGGGCAGACUAGAGUACUGCAGGGGAGACUGGAAUUCCUGGUGUAGCGGUGGAAUGCGCAGA
rnacentral:rRNA from 1 species